GUGAUGAGAGAUGAGCCAAUCCUGCAGCAGAGCCCGCCCUCCCCACCCUGCUGAUUUGCAUGUGCCCAUAGCUCAGCCUACUGCCCAGAACAGUGGACUGCUCUUAAAGGUUGUUUACACCUUGUGUGGAAGUCAGUCCCAGUCAGCACACAGCAUGGACAUGAGGGUCCCUGCUCAGAUCCUGGGGCUCCUGCUGCUCUGGCUCCCAGGUGCCAAAUGUGACAUCCAGAUGACCCAGACUCCAUCCUCCCUGUCUGCAUCUCCAGGAAACACAGUCACCAUCAAUUGCAGGGCCAGUCAGGGCAUUAACAAGUAUUUAGCCUGGUUUCAGCAGAAACCAGGGAAAGCUCCUAAGGGGCUGAUAUAUAGAGCAUCUAAUUUAGAAUCAGGUGUCCCAUCCAGGUUCAGUGGCAGUGGAUCUGGGACAGAUUAUUCUCUUACCAUCAGCAGCCUGCAGCCUGAAGAUGUUAGCACUUAUUACUGUCUGCAGUAUAAUAGUUAUCCUUCCACAGUGAUACAAGUCAUAACAGAAACCUCCCAAGGAAGCAGAAGUGAGAGGCUAGGCUACUCCAGCUGCUCCUGCAGCCUCUACCUGCUGACAGUGCUUCUCAGAUUCAUCUCUUAG